GACGAACGCUGGCGGCGUGCCUAAUACAUGCAAGUUGAGCGAUGAAGCUUGGUGCUUGCACCAAUUUGAAGAGCAGCGAACGGGUGAGUAACGCGUGGGGAAUCUGCCUUUGAGCGGGGGACAACAUUUGGAAACGAAUGCUAAUACCGCAUAACAACUUUAAACAUAAGUUUUAAGGUUGAAAGAUGCCAUUGCAUCACUCAAAGAUGAUCCCGCGUUGUAUUAGCUAGUUGGUGAGGUAAAGGCUCACCAAGGCGAGGAUACAUAGCCGACCUGAGAGGGUGAUCGGCCACAUUGGGACGGUGACACGGCCCAAACGCCUUCGGGAGGCAGCAGUAGGGCAACGUGAGCAAGGGGCGAAAGUCUGACCGAGCAGCGCCGAGGGAGGAAAGAAGGUUUUCGGGUCGUAAAACUCGGUUGGUAGAGAAGAACGUUGGUGAGAGUGGAACGCUCAGCGAGUGACGGUAACUACUCAGAAAGGGACGGCUAACUACGUG
rnacentral:rRNA from 1 species